CGAAGGGGCUAGCGUUGUUCGGAAUUACUGGGCGUAAAGCGCACGUAGGCGGACAUUUAAGUCAGGGGUGGAAAUCCCGGGGCGUCAACCUCGGAACUGCCUUUGAUACUGGGUGUCUUGAGUGUGGAAGAGGUCAGUGGAAUUGCGAGUGUAGAGGUGAAAUUCGUAGAUAUUCGCAGGAACACCAGUGGCGAAGGCGGCUGACUGGUCCACAACUGACGCUGAGGUGCGAAAGCGUGGGGGAGGCAAACAGGAUU
rnacentral:rRNA from 1 species